GUGGGGAAUCUUAGACAAUGGGCGCAAGCCUGAUCUAGCCAUGCCGCGUGAGUGAUGAAGGCCCUAGGGUUGUAAAGCUCUUUCAGCUGGGAAGAUAAUGACGGUACCAGCAGAAGAAGCCCCGGCUAACUCCGUGCCAGCAGCCGCGGUAAUACGGAGGGGGCUAGCGUUGUUCGGAAUUACUGGGCGUACAGCGCGCGUAGGUGGACUGAAAAGUUGGGGGUGAAAUCCCGGGGCUCAACCUCGGAACUGCCUUCAAAACUAUCAGUCUGGAGUUCGAGAGAGGUGAGGGGAAUUCCGAGUGUAGAGGUGAAAUUCGUAGAUAUUCAGAGGAACACCAGUGGCGAAGGCGGCUCACUGGCUCGAUACUGACGCUGAGGUGCGAAAGCGUGGGGAGCAAACAGGAUUAGAAACCCUAGUAGUCC
rnacentral:rRNA from 1 species